rnacentral:rRNA from 1 species
CACGUGAAAUUUGUUGAAAGGGAAGCGCUUGCGACCAGACUCGCCCGCGGGGUUCAGCCGGCAAUUCGUNCCGGUUGUNCUUCCCCCGGCGGGGCGGGCCCAGGCGUUCGGGUUUGGGGCGGGCCGGUUCAAAGGCCCCCCGGAAAUUGUAGCACCCUUUCGGGGUGCCUUUAUAGCCGGGGGUGCAAUGCGGCCAGCCUGGACCGAGGAACGCGCUUCGGCACGGACNCUGGCAUAAUGGUCGUAAACGACCCGUCUUGAAACACGGACCAAGGAGUCUAACAUCUACGCGAGUGUUCGGGUGUCAAACCCGUGCGCGCAGUGAAAGCGAACGGAGGUGGGAGCCCCCCCGCGGGGCGCACCAUCGACCGAUCCUGAUGUCUUCGGAUGGAUUUGAGUAAGAGUCGUAAAUGUGGGGACCCGAAAGAUGGUUGAACUAUGCCUGAAUAGGGCGAAGCCAGAGGAAACUCUGGUGGAGGUCUCGCAGCGGUUCUGACGUGCAAAUCGAUCGUCAAAUUUGGGUAUAGGGGUCGAAAG